rnacentral:miRNA from 1 species
UCGCCUCCUCCUCCGCC